ensembl:lncRNA
CACAGAUCUGUUGUCUGCUCUGCUCAAUAAGCAACCAUUAUCAAGCACCAUGUGGAAGAGAGGAUGAUCAAGAACGGAGAGAAGCAAGCAUCCAGAAGCAGCAAUAACCAGCAUCGGGUUCUUUGGUCUCUUGGGGAGUGAUAAGUGGCAUGGACUUUCACCUGUAAGACAUUACUCGAAAACACGACACAUAGUGGGUGCUAAUCAAUAUCUGCUGCUUGAACUAAAGAAGACUAAAGAAGCAGGUAGACACAGAGCACUACAGACGAAGCAUGGCCCCCAUCUUUCAAAAUAAAGAAAGGAUCUGAGAGAAAAGAUCAAGAAGAAUCUCCAUCCAUACCGCAAGAACACAAGUGUAG